UCCAUUUGUGGAGCACCUUGAGGCGCGCAGACCCAACGCCACUCUCAUGGAAUUCCAGUCGUUUUCUUCAGCUCCCUUAUCCAACCCUCUCACGUCUCUCGGUUGUUUCUUCUUGCAUUUCUUUACGCAAACCCCCAGUUGUUUUAUAGAGCUCAGGUGCUCGAUCGCCCUGCUUCUCUUCCACCGAGAGAACUACUGUUUGAUGGCUACAGCUCUGGUUUCUCGGGGCUUAAGCUGCAGCUACUCGGGCACUUCAGAACAUGGGCGGACAUCAAAUGAUCUGAGCUUCUCCUGUUCCAUUUCCAGUCUGCAACUAUUGAAGUGUGAUGCACUGUCAUCAAAGUUUUCGCGCUCGAUAAAGAUUUUUAGAAGCGAGGUGCGGAAGCAAGAAUCUGAUAAGCUUGGCAUUAAUGGCCGGUCUAACAAAAUGGUAUCAACGAAGAAAUUAGCGGAAAUCAAGUCCACUUUCACUGAGAAAAUUGGAACAGCCAGUGUCAGCGCUGCUGUGAAUGGCUCAAAAGGGGUGGUCAAUAAUGGUGCUGGCUUGGUUAAAAUGAAUGGAGUAUUAGAUAUUGCUAAAACACCUAAAAAGAAGGUGGCUGAUGAUCUCUCCUCUGGGGAUGAGCUAAAAGUUUUCGCUUCAGAUGAGGGUUUCAGCUGGGCCAAUGAAAACUAUAAUGGUUGGCAAAGGACAAUUGACAUUUGGUCUUUUGUUAUUUCUCUACGCAUUCGGGUUCUCUUUGAUAAUGCAAAAUGGGCAUAUCUUGAUGGAAUUACAGAAAAUAAGCAGAAAAAAAGGCGCCAAAAGACAGCUGCAUGGUGUAGAGAGAGAGUUUUGCAACUUGGACCUACUUUUAUCAAGCUAGGCCAGUUGUCCUCAACAAGAUCUGAUUUGUUUCCUAAAGAGUUUGUUGAUGAACUUGCCAAGUUGCAGGAUAGAGUGCCGGCAUUCUCACCUAAAAAAGCGAAAACAUUCAUAGAAAAUGAGCUGGGUUUACCUGUUAAUGUAUUAUUCAAGAAGUUUGAAGAUAGGCCAAUAGCUGCAGCCAGUCUUGGUCAGGUGCAUCAGGCCAUCUUACAUACCGGAGAGAAUGUUAUAAUAAAAGUUCAGAGGCCCGGUCUCAAGAGGCUUUUUGACAUCGAUUUAAGGAACUUAAAACUAUUAGCUGAGUAUUUUCAGAAAAGCGAGACAUUUGGAGGACCCACAAGGGAUUGGAUUGGUAUCUAUGAGGAGUGUUCCAAAAUUCUAUUUCAAGAAAUCGACUAUGUAAAUGAAGGAAGGAAUGCUGAUAAGUUUCGUCGAGAUUUUCGAAAUGUAAAGUGGGUUCGCGUACCUAUUGUGCUUUGGGAUUAUACUUCUAUGAAGGUGUUGACGCUGGAAUAUGUUCCAGGAAUAAAGAUAAAUAACCUAAGCCAGAUUGAUGUUAGUGGAAUUAACCGUUCACUGAUUGCUUCACGCGCUAUAGAGGCUUAUUUGAUUCAGUUACUGAAGACUGGAUUUUUUCAUGCUGAUCCUCAUCCUGGCAACCUUGCUAUUGACAAGGAUGGAUCACUUAUCUAUUAUGAUUUUGGAAUGAUGGGUGAAAUAAAAUCCUUCACUCGAGAGAGGUUGCUCGACUUGUUUUACUCAGUAUAUGAAAAGGAUGCAAACAAGGUUAUGAGAAACCUUAUUGAGAUUGAGGCGCUUAAGCCAACAGGAGACAUGUCAUCGGUGAGGCGGUCCAUACAGUUUUUCUUGGAUAAUCUGUUAAGCCAGUCACCUGAUCAGCAACAAACUUUGGCUGCAAUUGGUGAGGAUUUGUUUGCAAUAGCAACAGACCAACCUUUCCGGUUCCCUGCAACAUUUACUUUUGUCUUAAGAGCAUUUUCAACUCUUGAAGGUAUUGGAUAUACACUUGAUCCAGAAUUCUCAUUUGUCAAAGUGGCUGCGCCUUAUGCCAAAGAACUACUGGACAUUAGACAAAAGCAACCAACUGGAGCAGAGCUCGUUAAUCAGAUAAGAAGACAAGCAAACGAUGCUAGGGAUUACACUAUUUCAAUGCCAUAUAGAAUCCAGAAGGUUGAAGAGUUCGUGAAGCAACUCGAGUCGGGAGAUUUGAAACUUAGAGUCAGAGUGCUCGAGUCUGAAAGAGCUGCUCGGAAAGCCACUAUACUUCAGAUGGCCACUAUUUACACAGCUUUGGGUGGAACUCUAUUCAAUGUUGGGGUUAACUUGAGCGGGCAAGGAAAUGACGCUUUUGCUAAUGGAGCUUUCAUUGGUGCUGGAUUGUAAUCUUCUGUUUGAGGGGCAUAACUUGUUAAGGCACCAACUUGAUCGUACUGAACUUCUGGUUCUUGCUCACCAUGUGCAGUCCAAUUUCAAUAAUUUGGUUUAAAUCUCUUGAGCCCUUUAGAAUCACAAGAGAACACUUCAGAGGAAGGUUACUGGAUAGAUGCUUUUAUGAACGGCAGCGGGGAGUACUAUGGGGAGGAGCAGCGGGAGCUCACCAGAAAAUGCAUCGAAAUGACUAGUAGUAUGCUAAUCAAGCCGGCUUGUAAACCAU